UACGUAGGGUGCAAGCGUUGUCCGGAAUUAUUGGGCGUAAAGAGCUCGUAGGCGGCUUGUCACGUCUGCUGUGAAAACUCGGGGCUCAACCCCGAGCCUGCAGUGGAUACGGGCUAGCUAGAGUGCGGUAGGGGAGACUGGAAUUCCUGGUGUAGCGGUGAAAUGCGUAGAUAUUGGGAGGAACACCAGUGGCGAAGGCGGCUCACUGGACCGGAACUGACGCUGAGGCGCGAAAGCGUGGGGAGCAAACGGG
rnacentral:rRNA from 1 species